rnacentral:rRNA from 1 species
CUACGGGCCGCUGCAGUUAGGUAUAAUUUACAAUGCGCGCAAGCGUGAUAAUUUGAGUCAGAGUGCUUAUCAUUCGAUAAGCUUUUGCCAAAUUUAAAAAGUUUGGCGAAUAAGGACUGGGUAAGACUAGUGCCAGCCGCCGCGGUAAUACUAGCGGUCCAAGUCGCAGCCAUUUUUAUUGGGUCUAAAACAUCCGUAGCUUGCUUAAUAAGUUCCUUGUGAAAUUUUACAUCUCAAGUGUGAAGAUAGCAAGGAGUACUGUUGAGCUAGAGACUGGGAGACGUAAAAAGUAUGUUUAAAGUAACGGUUAAAUGUGUUAAUCUUAGACAGACUCACAAUAGCGAAGGCAUUUUACGAGAACAGUUCUGACAGUAAGGGAUGAAGGCCAGGGGCGCAAAACGGAUUAGAUACCCGCGUAGUC